rnacentral:tRNA from 1 species
GCACGGAUGGCCGAGUGGAUAAAGCAGUGGACUCCUAAUCAUUCGACUUCAAAGUAAAUAAGUGAGGUAGGUGGGUUCGAGUCCCGCUCGGGGCA